rnacentral:rRNA from 1 species
UGGGGAAUUUUGGACAAUGGGCGAAAGCCUGAUCCAGCAAUGCCGCGUGUGUGAAGAAGGCCUUCGGGUUGUAAAGCACUUUUGUCCGGAAAGAAAUCCUUGGCUCUAAUACAGUCGGGGGAUGACGGUACCGGAAGAAUAAGCACCGGCUAACUACGUGCCAGCAGCCGCGGUAAUACGUAGGGUGCAAGCGUUAAUCGGAAUUACUGGGCGUAAAGCGUGCGCAGGCGGUUUGCUAAGACCGAUGUGAAAUCCCGGGCUCAACCUGGGAACUGCAUUGGUGACUGGCAGGCUAGAGUAUGGCAGAGGGGGGUAGAAUUCCACGUGUAGCAGUGAAAUGCGUAGAGAUGUGGAGGAAUACCGAUGGCGAAGGCAGCCCCCUGGGCCAAUACUGACGCUCAUGCACGAAAGCGUGGGGAGCAAACAGGAUUAGAUACCCUGGUAGUCCACGCCCUAAACGAUGUCAACUAGUUGUUGGGGACUUCAUUUUCCUUAGUAACGUAGCUAACGCGUGAAGUUGACCGCCUGGGGAGUACGGUCGCAAGAUUAAAACUCAAAUGAAUUGACGGGGUCAUAGCUG